CACAUGCAAGUAUCAGCAAUCCCGUGAAAAAGCCCUUUAAACCUCUUUCAGGCCAAGGAGCCGGCAUCAGGCACAGAAUUCUUGCCCACAACGCCUAGUCUUACCACGCCUUCAAAGGUAUUCAGCAGUGAUAAAAAUUGUCCAUAAGCGCCAGCUUGAGUCAGUUAAAGAAAAGAGAGCCGGCCAACCCGGUGCCAGCCGCCGCGGCUACACCGCCGGGCUCAAGUUGAUAUCUAUCGGCGUUAAGCGUGAUUAAAGAAAAUCAAAAUUAGAGUUAAACUUGAGCUCAGCCGUGAAAAGCUCGCCCAACAGAAAUACAUAAACGAAAGUUACUCUAACUACUCACUCUUGAAUACACGACAGUUUGGGAACAAACUGGGAUUAGUAGAUACCC
rnacentral:rRNA from 1 species